CACGUAGGGGGCAAGCGUUGUCCGGAUUUAUUGGGCGUAAAGAGCUCGUAGGCGGCGCGGUAAGUCGGGUGUGAAAUCUCGGAGCUUAACUCCGAAACUGCAUUCGAUACUGCCGUGCUUGAGGACUGGAGAGGAGACUGGAAUUUACGGUGUAGCGGUGAAAUGCGUAGAUAUCGUAAGGAAGACCAGUGGCGAAGGCGGGUCUCUGGACAGUUCCUGACGCUGAGGCACGAAGGCCAGGGGAGCAAACGGG
rnacentral:rRNA from 1 species